UACAGAGGGUGCGAGCGUUAAUCGGAAUUACUGGGCGUAAAGCGUGCGUAGACGGUCAAGUAAGUCGGGUGUGAAAGCCCCGGGCUCAACCUGGGAAUUGCAUUCGAGACUGCGUGGCUAGGGUGCGGAAGAGGGAAGCGGAAUUUCCGGUGUAGCGGUGAAAUGCGUAGAUAUCGGAAGGAACACCAGUGGCGAAAGCGGCUUCCUGGUCCCAGCACCGACGUCA
rnacentral:rRNA from 1 species